UAAUAUUUACAACCUAAAACUUAGAUUGAAUUGGUUUGUCUACUAACCAAUUCAUCCAAAGCUUCCUUCAUCCAAGCAUAUGGGCAUAUUUCUUUUGCUUCAUCCACAGUCAACUGCAUGAUUACAAAUGAAAGAAAUAUUAGGAUACUAACAAAAAAUAAUAAUAGUAAAGAAAGAAUGAUACUUAAUUAAGAUAUUGCAAUUUGCAAGAUGAAUUGACAUUUGAGUAUGACACAAAAAUUUAUAAAUGCCACAUGAUUAGGAUCAAGGUUUUGAAAAACAUAUAUGCAACCUCAAUCUGCGCCGCGACGUCAGGAUUUUUGAUAUCUCAGUGGGCUUCAAUUGAGGUUACAAAAGUUGUAUAGGAUCAAGGUUUUGAAAAACAUAUAUGCAACAUCAAUCUGCGCUGCGACAUCAAGAUUUUGACGUCGCAGCGGCUUUGAUUGAGGUUGCAAUAAUUGUAUUUGACUACAAUUCUCCGCAAUAGCAAGAAUCGUGUCGCGACCAUGAUUAGGAUAUAAUGAAAGAUGAAUAGGUCUCAUAUACACUUACCCAUUUUCUUCUUCUUAUGUUCAUUUCUGGCCAAUUAUCCAACU
rnacentral:lncRNA from 1 species